rnacentral:rRNA from 1 species
UACAGAGGGUGCGAGCGUUAAUCGGAAUUACUGGGCGUAAAGCGCGCGUAGGCGGCUUUUCAAGUCGAUUGUGAAAUCCCCCGGCUUAACCUGGGAACUGCGUCUGAUACUGGACGGCUUGAGUAUGGGAGAGGGAUGUAGAAUUCCAGGUGUAGCGGUGAAAUGCGUAGAUAUCUGGAGGAAUACCGGUGGCGAAGGCGGCAUCCUGGACCAUUACUGACGCUGAGGCGCGAAAGCUAGGGGAGCAAACGGG